rnacentral:rRNA from 1 species
UGGGGAAUAUUGCACAAUGGGCGCAAGCCUGAUGCAGCCAUGCCGCGUGUGUGAAGAAGGCCUUCGGGUUGUAAAGCACUUUCAGCGAGGAGGAAGGUGGUGAACUUAAUACGUUCAUCAAUUGACGUUACUCGCAGAAGAAGCACCGGCUAACUCCGUGCCAGCAGCCGCGGUAAUACGGAGGGUGCAAGCGUUAAUCGGAAUUACUGGGCGUAAAGCGCACGCAGGCGGUUUGUUAAGUCAGAUGUGAAACCCCCGGGCUCAACCUGGAAACUGCAUUUGAAACUGGCAAGCUAGAGUCUCGUAGAGGGGGGUAGAAAUUCCAGGUGUAGCGGUGAAAUGCGUAGAGAUCUGGAGGAAUACCGGUGGCGAAGGCGGCCCCCUGGACGAAGACUGACGCUCAGGUGCGAAAAGCGUGGGGAGCAAAACAGGAUUAGAUACCCUGGUAGUCCACGCUGUAAAACGAUGUCGAUUUUGGAGGUUGUGCCCUUGAGGCGUGGCUUCCGGAGCUAACGCGUUAAAUCGACCGCCUGGGGAGUACGGCCGCAAGG